rnacentral:lncRNA from 1 species
GCCUCCCGUUCGUUCCCGUGGCUUCUGGAGUCUUCUAGAUGGUAGAAAAUUGCGCGGCACGUUAAUAUCUCUAUGUAAACCCGACGUGUGGGCCUUUCUAUCAUAUUUCCUGAUAAUCCCCUGCAGAAAUAGACAAACACCAAAACUCAUGGAAUUCUGUCAGAUAAAACCCUAAGUCUAGAUGUUGAUUUCAUUUAGAUCCUUUUCUUUGUUUAUUUGAUAAUUAAAUUUGAUACUUAAGGACCGUCAACAGUGGUUAACCACAUAAUCCGUAGUGGAUAUACAUCUUAGAAUGUGCUAGCUAUUUGUGACUUUGAUAUGCGG